CGGCGGACGGGUGAGUAACACGUGGAUAACCUACCUAUAAGACUGGGAUAACUUCGGGAAACCGGAGCUAACACCGGAUAAUAUAUUGAACCGCAUGGUUCAAUAGUGAAAGACGGUUUUGCUGUCACUUAUAGAUGGAUCCGCGCCGCAUUAGCUAGUUGGUAAGGUAACGGCUUACCAAGGCAACGAUGCGUAGCCGACCUGAGAGGGUGAUCGGCCACACUGGAACUGAGACACGGUCCAG
rnacentral:rRNA from 1 species